rnacentral:rRNA from 1 species
ACGGGGUGCAGCAGGCGCGAACACUUUACAAUGCGGGAAACCGCGAUAAGGGAACCCCGAGUGCCAGCCGCCGCGGUAACACCGGCGGCCCGAGUGGUAGCCGUUUUUAUUGGGUCUAAAGGGUCCGUAGCCGGCCUGAUAAGUCCUUUGGGAAAUCUGGCAGCUUAACUGUCAGGCUUCUAAGGGAUACUGUCAGGCUUGGGACCGGAAGAGGUAAGGGGUACUCCAGGGGUAGGAGUGAAAUCUUGUAAUCCCUGGGGGACCAUCUGUGGCGAAGGCGCCUUACCAGAACGGGUCCGACGGUGAGGGACGAAAGCUAGGGGAGCAAACCGGAUUAGAUACCCGGGUAGUCCUAGCUGUAAACGAUGCUCGCUAGGUGUCAGACACGGUGCGACCGUGUUUGGUGCCGCAGGAAGCCGUUAAGCGAGCCACCUGGAAGUACGUCGCAAGGC